UACGAGGGGUGCAAGCAUUAUUCGGAAUGACUGGGCGUAAAGGGUACGUAGACGGUAUGUUAAGUCAGUUGUUAAAGAUCCCGGCCUAACCGGGAAAAUGCGACUGAUACUGGCAUACUAGAGGAUGGAAGAGAGAAGUGGAAUUCUAGGAGUAGCGGUAAAAUGCGUAGAUCUCUAGAGGAACACCGAUGGCGAAGGCAGCUUCUUGGUCCAUUCCUGACGUUGAGGUACGAAAGCGUGGGGAGCAAACAGG
rnacentral:misc_RNA from 1 species